UACAGAGGGUGCAAGCGUUGUUCGGAAUUAUUGGGCGUAAAGGGCGCGUAGGCGGUGCCACAAGUCACCUGUGAAAUCUCCGGGCUUAACCCGGAGCCUGCAGGCGAUACUGUGGUGCUGGAGUGUGGGAGAGGUGCGUGGAAUUCCCGGUGUAGCGGUGGAAUGCGCAGAUAUCAGGAGGAACACCUAUAGCGAAGGCAGCUCGCUGGGACGACACUGACGCUGAGACGCGAAAGCGUGGGGAGCAAACAGG
rnacentral:rRNA from 1 species